GGUGGAGUGCCAGUUCGAGUCGGCGGCCGAGGCGGCGGCGGUGGUGGCGCGCCUGCGACAGACGGAGGUCGCCGACGGCCGGCUCGUCUCGGCGGAGACGCUCCUCGCGCAGCGGCCGGCGGGCGCGCUCGACCGCCGUGCUCUCCUCAAGAACAUGACACGGCUGCACGUGCGUGGCAUACAGAGGACGGCCACCGCGCCGGAGCUGCAACAGCUGUUCACUGGCUGCGAUGACGUCAGCAUUCCGGCCAACAACCAGCGCGGAAACAACGGUUACGCGUUCGUGCAGUUCCCCGACCGGCAGUCAGCUGCUGCAAUGGCGUCCCAGCAGCUGACGCUGCACGACAAAC